rnacentral:rRNA from 1 species
GCCCUUUCGGGGGUACACGAGCGGCGAACGGGUGAGUAACACGUGAGCAAUCUGCCCUUCACUUUGGGAUAACCACCGGAAACGGUGGCUAAUACCGAAUAUGACCAGUCUCUGCAUGGAGUGCUGGUGGAAAGUUCCGGCGGUGGAGGAUGAGCUCGCGGCCUAUCAGCUUGUUGGUGGGGUAAUGGCCUACCAAGGCGACGACGGGUAGCCGGCCUGAGAGGGUGACCGGCCACACUGGGACUGAGACACGGCCCAGACUCCUACGGGAGGCAGCAGUGGGGAAUAUUGGACAAUGGGCGAAAGCCUGAUCCAGCAACGCCGCGUGAGGGAUGACGGCCUUCGGGUUGUAAACCUCUUUCAGUAGGGACGAAGCUAACGUGACGGUACCUACAGAAGAAGCACCGGCCAACUACGUGCCAGCAGCCGCGGUAAUACGUAGGGUGCGAGCGUUGUCCGGAAUUAUUGGGCGUAAAGGGCUCGUAGGCGGUUUGUCGCGUCGGGAGUGAAAACUCGGGGCUUAACUCCGAGCCUGCUUCCGAUACGGGCAGACUAGAGGUAUGCAGGGGAGAACGGAAUUCCUGGUGUAGCGGUGAAAUGCGCAGAUAUCAGGAGGAACACCGGUGGCGAAGGCGGUUCUCUGGGCAUUACCUGACGCUGAGGAGCGAAAGUGUGGGGAGCGAACAGGAUUAGAUANCCUGGUAGUCCACACCGUAAACGUUGGGCGCUAGGUGUGGGACUCAUUCCACGAGUUC